rnacentral:rRNA from 1 species
AGAGUUUGAUCCUGGCUCAGGAUGAACGCUAGCUACAGGCUUAACACAUGCAAGUCGAGGGGCAGCAUUGGGAUAGCUUGCUAUUCCAGAUGGCGACCGGCGCACGGGUGAGUAACGCGUAUCCAACCUUCCCUAUAGUAGAGAAUAGCCCGGCGAAAGUCGGAUUAAUGCUCUAUGUUGUGUUUUGAGGACAUCUGACGAACACCAAAGGUUCACCGCUAUAGGAUGGGGAUGCGUCUAAUUAGCUUGUUGGCGGGGUAACGGCCCACCAAGGCGACGAUCAGUAGGGGUUCUGAAAGGAAGGUCCCCCACAUUGGUACUGAAACACGGACCAAACUCCUACGGGAGGCAGCAGUAAGGAAUAUUGGUCAAUGGGCGAAAACUGAACCAGCCAAGUAGCGUGCAGGACGACUGCCCUAUGGGUUGUAAACUGCUUUUAUCAGGGAAUAAAGUACGGCACGUGUGCGUUUUGUAUGUACCUGAUGAAUAACGACCGGCUAAUUCCGUGCCA